AUGAAGGGCAAUCAUAAAACUAAGGUACAUGUAAAACAAUUAUCUUUACUGGAGGUCUGCAAAAAACCACUUUUUUAAACAAUUCAAUUCCUUAGAAAGCAUAAACUUAAGCCAUGAAUCAAUUAUUCAAUGAUCCUUUAAUUUUGUCUUGGGUUUGACAAUAAGAAAAAAAAAUAUUGACCUAAAUUUUGCUCUUUGGGGGUCUAGCCAAAGUGCAUUAAUAUUUUACAAAAGUCAAUUUAGGCUAGCUUUGGAAUGUCUUUAUAAGUAUUCCUGGGUUUGGUGAUAUCUGGAUGUGGGAAGCCUUGCCCUGGAAGGUCCAAACUUGGCUUAUUUUCAUAUCAUGCUUUAAAGAUCGUAAGCCAAAUGUCAGGGAUUUGAAAAAUUCUCCUCUCUAAUGACAUGUAGUUCUUUGACCUUUUUGAAAUUUGUAACAUUAUAGACCAAAGGUCAAUCAAAGUUAAUGAUGUCAUUGUACAGUUGGUUCUAACUUCUUACUCAGGGAAGUAAUGACAUAACAAAUGUCUUUAACAUAAAUCACUGCAAUUACUAUAUAAUUUCAAACCAAUUUCCUACUAGUAAAACAGUUUGUUAUUGUUUGUGUCCUUAUACUUUACCAUAUUAAGAUAUUUAGAAAAAAAGUGUGUCUGUGUAACCUGUAAGAGCACCUUGUGUAAGUGGAGGUGUUUUAUACUAAUUACUGGUGAUGAAAAUGCUUUUUUCUGUAUAUUUUUAUAAUAUCCUCACUUACCAACUGAUUACUGAUGUAGAAGAAAGUAUGUGGUGCAUUAAACACAAACAGAUGGUUUUUUAUACGACCGCAAAUUUUGAAAAAAUUUUCGUCGUAUAUUGCUAUCACGUUGGCGUCUGCGUCGUCGUCGUCGUCGUCGUCGUCGUCGUCGUCGUCGUCGUCGUCGUCGUCGUCCGUCGUCCGAAUACUUUUAGUUUUCGCACUCUAACUUUAGUAAAAGUGAAUGGAAAUCUAUGAAAUUUUAACACAAGGUUUAUGACCACAAAAGGAAGGUUGGUAUUGAUUUUGGGAGUUUUGGUCCCAACAUUUUAGGAAUUAGGGGCCAAAAAGGGCCCAAAUAAGCAUUUUCUUGGUUUUCGCACAAUAACAUUAGUUUAAGUAAAUAGAAAUCAAUGAAAUUUAAACACAAUGUUAAUGACUACAAAAGGAAGGUUGGUAUUGAUUUUGGGAGUUUAGGUCCCAACAGUUUAGGAAUUAGGGGCCAAAAAGGGACCCAAAUAAGCAUUUUUCUUGGUUUUCGCACCAUAACAUUAGUAUAAGUAAAUAGAAAUCUAUGAAAUUUAAACACAAGGUUUAUGACCAUAAAAGAAAGGUUGGGUUUGAUUUUGGGAGUUUUGGUCCCAACAUAAUAAGGGGCCCAAAGGGUCCAAAAUUAAACUUUUGUUGAUUUCAUCAAAAUUGAAUAAUUGGGGUUCUUUGAUAUGCUGAAUCUAACUGUCAUGACUGUGUAUGUAGAUUCUUAACUUUUGGUCCCGUUUUCAAAUUGGUCUACAUUAAGGUCCAAAGGGUCCAAAAUUAAACUUUGUUUGAUUUUGACAAAAAAUGAAUCAGUUAGGUUCUUUGAUAUGCUGAAUCUAAAAAUGUACUUAGAUUCUUGAUUAUUGGCCCAGUUUUCAAGUUGGUCCAAAUCGGGGUCCAAAAUUAAAUUUUGUUUGAUUUCAUCAAAAAUUGAAUAAAUGGGGUUCUUUGAUAUUCCAAAUCUAACUGUGUAUGUAGAUUCUUCAUUUUUGGUCCUGUUUUCAAAUUGGUCUACACUAAAGUCCAAAGGGUCCAAAAUUAAACUUAGUCUGAUUUUAACAAAAAUUGAAAUCUUGAAGUUCUUUGAUAUGCUGAAUCCAAAAAUGUACUUAGAUUUUUUAUUAUGGGCCCAGUUUUCAAGUUGGUCCAAAUCAGGAUCUAAAAUUAUUAUAUUAAGUAUUGUGUAAUAGCAAGUCUUUUCAAUUGCACAGUAUUGCGCAAUGGCAAGAAAUAUCUAAUUGCACAAUAUUGUGAAAUAUCAAAUUUUUUUUUAAUUAGAGUUAUCUUUCUUUGUCCAGAAUAGUAAGCAAGAAAUAUCUAAUUGCAAAAUAUUGUGCAAUAGCAAGAUUUUUUUUUAAUUGGAGUUAUCUUUCUUUGUCCAGAAUCAACUUAAAUCUUUGUUAUAUACAAUAUACAAUGUAUAUUCACUUUUUACUACCAACUGAUAAAUUAAAAUAAUCUUUACCAUUCAGUGAUAACAAGCAGUUUUUUUACAUCUUAAUAUUUUAUGAUGUAUUUAAAUGAGUAGUUAUUGUUGCAAACUCCAUUAGAAAUUUUAAUUGAGAUUAGUUUUGGAAUAAGGGAAAGGGGGAUGUGAUUAAAAAAAUUGGGUUCAAUUUUUCUCAUUUGAAAUUUCAUAAAUAAAAAAGAAAAUUUCUUCAAACAUUUUUUUGAGAGGAUUAAUAUUCAACAGCAUAGUGAAUAGCUCUAAGAGAAACAAAAAUUUUAAGUUCAUUAGAACACAUUCAUUCUGUGUCAGAAACCUAUGCUGUGUCAACUAUUUAAUCACAAUCCAAAUUUAGAGCUGAAUCCAGCUUGAAUGUUGUGUCCAUACUUGCCCUAACCGUUCAGGGUUCAACCUCUGCGGUCGUAUAAAGCUUUGCCCUGCGGAGCAUCUGGUUGGUCCUGUUUUCAAAUUGGUCUACACUAAAGUCCAAAGGGUCCAAAAUUAAACUUAGUCUGAUUUUAACAAAAAUUGAAAUCUUGGGGUUCUUUGAUAUGCUGAAUCCAAAAAAGUACUUAGAUUUUUUAUUAUGGGCCCAGUUUUCAAGUUGGUCCAAAUCAGGAUCUAAAAUUAUUAUAUUAAGUAUUGUGCAAUAGCAAGUCUUUUCAAUUGCACAGUAUUGCGCAACGGCAAGAAAUAUCUAAUUGCACAAUAUUGUGAAAUAGCAAAUUUUUUUUUAAUUAGAGUUAUCUUUCUUUGUCCAGAAUAGUAAGCAAGAAAUAUCUAAUUGCAAAAUAUUGUGCAAUAGCAAGAUUUUUUUUUAAUUGGAGUUAUCUUUCUUUGUCCAGAAUCAACUUAAAUCUUUGUUAUAUACAAUAUACAAUGUAUAUUCACUUUUUACUACCAACUGAUAAAUUAAAAUAAUCUUUACCAUUCAGUGAUAACAAGCAGUUUUUUUACAUCUUAAUAUUUUAUGAUGUAUUUAAAUGAGUAGUUAUUGUUGCAAACUCCAUUAGAAAUUUUAAUUGAGAUUAGUUUUGGAAUAAGGGAAAGGGGGAUGUGAUUAAAAAAAUUGGGUUCAAUUUUUCUCAUUUGAAAUUUCAUAAAUAAAAAAGAAAAUUUCUUCAAACAUUUUUUUGAGAGGAUUAAUAUUCAACAGCAUAGUGAAUUGCUCUAAGAGAAAACAAAAAUUUUAAGUUCAUUAGAACACAUUCAUUCUGUGUCAGAAACCUAUGCUGUGUCAACUAUUUAAUCACAAUCCAAAUUUAGAGCUGAAUCCAGCUUGAAUGUUGUGUCCAUACUUUCCCCAACCGUUCAGGGUUCAACCUCUGCGGUCGUAUAAAGCUACGCCCUGCGGAGCAUCUGGUUACAUACUGACUUAUCUCACUGACCUUGAACAAUGGUUUGUAAGGUUGUGUAAGGAUACAACUUCAGGUUAUUUGUUUAACAGCAGUAGCAACAGUAAAGUCAACAAACAGAGUUAAUAUAUAUGUCUCCUCUAUGAGUCCUUAUGUUUUAUAGCUGUUGCUGUACUAAUACCUGCAGCUAGAAUCUGCUAGAGCGUACACAAUUUUGAUCAGUUCUAAUUUUAUGUCUGAUAGUCAUUCACGGGUGUUGCUUAUAGUAAGACCUAAGACUUUUCUUUGCCCAGUCCCUCUCAUGCCUUAUAGCUGUUGGCACCAAAAAAACUUAAUGCUAGAGGAGACAGACUUUCAGAUUAUAGGACCCCUUUCUACUGCUGAUAUGGGUAUUGUUUUCUCCAGUGUCCCCUUAUAUUUCACAAUACCAUACUUGAGAAUAUUACAUUUAUAAUUCAGUUUUUUGUCAUCUCCGUUUCUAAUCACAUUUACCAAUGCUUUAUAGAAUAUUUUCAGAUCUCCAAUACCUUCUGGGAUUAACUUAUGGAAAUGGCGUUUUUUCCCCUCAACUACUUGAAAUUGAAAUGCCUCAUUUGCAAUAAUUUGUAAAAUGAAUAGAAUAGAAUGAAAAGCUGUUGAAAUAAAUGAGUGGGUGAGGUAUUAUAUAACAACACUCAAAUGUAUAUUUUUUUUAUUCCCUGAACUUUAAACUGAAAUAGAUUUAACACCAUGAACAUAGUGUUUUAUAACCGU
rnacentral:lncRNA from 1 species